rnacentral:rRNA from 1 species
GACGAACGCUGGCGGCGUGCCUAAUACAUGCAAGUAGAACGCUGAAGGAGGAGCUUGCUUCUCUGGAUGAGUUGCGAACGGGUGAGUAACGCGUAGGUAACCUGCCUGGUAGCGGGGGAUAACUAUUGGAAACGAUAGCUAAUACCGCAUAAUAGUAGAUGUCGCAUGACAUUUGCUUAAAAGGUGCAAUUGCAUCACUACCAGAUGGACCUGCGUUGUAUUAGCUAGUUGGUGAGGUAACGGCUCACCAAGGCAACGAUACAUAGCCGACCUGAGAGGGUGAUCGGCCACACUGGGACUGAGACACGGCCCAGACUCCUACGGGAGGCAGCAGUAGGGAAUCUUCGGCAAUGGACGGAAGUCUGACCGAGCAACGCCGCGUGAGUGAAGAAGGUUUUCGGAUCGUAAAGCUCUGUUGUAAGAGAAGAACGAGUGUGAGAGUGGAAAGUUCACACUGUGACGGUAUCUUACCAGAAAGAGACGGCUAACUACGUG